rnacentral:lncRNA from 1 species
CUGGAAAUGUCAAAAGAUCAUCUAUUGUUUCAUCGUUUAGAAAGAAUUUUUGUUUUCUAGUUGUAAUUUCCUUGAUGCCUGGCUGUGGGGAAGGAAGAGAAAUUGGAGCAGGAGCUGGCAGGGCUGCAGCAGGUUGAACAUGCAGACUGGAUUGUAGCAGUAACCCUCAGUGUGAUCCCGUGAGGAGCUUUCAGCACCCAGCAGGAGUGGAAAGGAGGGACAGGACCCCCUUGGCCUCCAUCCCCUGAGCACAGAGCAAGGAGGAGCUCACCUUUGUCUGCUGGACACACCUCGGUUGUGAUCCCUACCCAGUUUUUGGGGCAGUGGGAGGACACUUCCAGGCCAGUGGCUCCCUGAGCACCCCCUAACAGUUCU